UUGCUCAUUCGUAUGAAACAGUGUAACUAAGGUUAGCUUUGAUCUAAAAAUAACAAAUCUGUUUGUUGCACUGUCUCUUUAUCCUCCUGUUGACAAUUGAAAGCACGCAAUACUUUUCUAUAACAACAUUCUUUUGUCAAAUAUUCCUAGUCGUUUAUUCUCAUUCUCCUCAACAUUUUCAGCUUGGAUUCUUAUAUAAGGAUUAGGGAUAGUGACCCCAAAGUUUCAGUACAACUACCCAGUAUCAUCUCUCUUUGAUAUUCCAGAGUUGAAAAAUGAACAAGCCUUCUAAGUACUCUACUCCAUACCCCGCCCAAGGUUAUUAUAAUCAGGGUCCUCCUCCACCUGUGUUGCCUCCCCCGAUGUAUGCUGCUCCUCCACCUCGCAAGAACACAGGUUUUCUUAAGGGGAUGCCUGGCAGCUUUGUGUUGUUAUUGCCUCCUAGACGACUGUUGCUGUGACCCCGGAUGUCUCUUUCUGUGCUAAGAUUCAGUCACAUGGAGAGGAGUCCUUUUUUUAUUUUCUUGCAAUGAGAUCAAUUUUAUGCAAAUAAACACUCUAGGAUGACCUUUAAUUUGUUGUAUAAGAUGAUAUACAUAUUCCGCAUUUUCUUGAUGAUUCUGUAACUUAUUUGGAAUUUA